rnacentral:snRNA from 1 species
AUACCUUUCUCGGCCUUUUGGCUAAGAUCAAGUGUAGUAUCUGUUCUUAUCAGUUUAAUAUCUGAUACGUGGGACAUCGUCCCACAUGAUAUUAAAUUAAUUUUUUAAGGGGGAGGGUCCACCACAAUAGCUUGCUAUUGGGAUCCUCGAGCGUCGCCCUAGCGUUGCACUACUGCUUGGGCCUGGCGCACCCCUC